ensembl:lncRNA
CAAAUGUUCCUUGAACACCUCCAGGGUCGGUGACUCCACCAUCUCUCUGGGCAGCCCAUUCCAGUGCCUGACCACGCUUUCAGAGAAGUAGUAUUUCCCAACGUCCAGCCUGAACCUUCCCUGGUGCAGCUUGAAACCAUUGUCUCUAGUCCUAUCACUAGUUACAUGAGAGAAGAGGCUGACCCCCAGCUCACUACAGCCUCCCUUCAGGUAGUUAUAGAGAGCAAUAAGGUCUCCCCUGAGCCUCCUCUUCUCUAGACUGAACAAUCCCAGCUCCUUCAGCCACUCCUCAUAAGGCCUGUGCUCCAGACUCCUCUCCAGCUUCGUUGCCCUUCUCUGAACAUGGUCCAGGGCCUCAAUGUCUUUCCUACAGUGAGGGGCCCAAAACUGGACACAGUACUCCAGGUGCGGCCUCACCAGUGCUGAGUACAGGGGGACAAUUACUUCCCUGUUCCUACUGGCAACACUGUUUCUGAUGCAAGCCAGGAUGCCACUGGCCUUCUUGGCCACCUGGGCACACUGCUGGCUCAUGUUCAGUUGAGCAUCAAUCAAUAUCCCCGGGUCCAUUUCCACUACACAGUCUUCCAGACACUCUGCCCCAAGCCUGUAGUGUUGCCUGGGGUUGUUGUGGCCAAAGUACAGGACACGGCAUUUGGUCUUGUUGAAUCCCAUCCCAUUGGCUUCAGCCCAGCUAUCCAGCCUGUCCAGAUCCCUCUGCAGGGCCUCGCUACCUCCAGGCAGAUUGAUACUUCCAGCCAGCUUGGUGUCAUCUGCAAACUUACUGAGGGUGCACUCAAUGCCCUCAUCCAGGUCAUCAAUAAAGAUAUUAAACAGGACAGGCCCCAGCACCAACCCCUGGAGAACACCACUC